rnacentral:rRNA from 1 species
ACGUAGGGGGCAAGCGUUAUCCGGAUUUACUGGGUGUAAAGGGAGCGUAGACGGCAAGACAAGUCUGGAGUGAAAGCCCGGGGCUCAACCGCGGGACUGCUCUGGAAACUGCCUUGCUGGAGUGCUGGAGAGGCAAGCGGAAUUCCUAGUGUAGCGGUGAAAUGCGUAGAUAUUAGGAGGAACACCAGUGGCGAAGGCGGCUUGCUGGACAGUAACUGACGUUGAGGCUCGAAAGCGUGGGGAGCAAACAG